CUGAUUAUACUGUGAGAACGAAAGUUCUUGCUUUUAACUAGAUAACAACUUUCAGCAGUGGAUGUCUAGGCUCGCACAUCGAUGAAGAACGCUGCGAACUGCGAUACGUAAUGCGAAUUGCAGAAUUCAGUGAGUCAUCGAAAUUUUGAACGCAUAUUGCACUUCCGGGUUAUGCCUGGAAGUAUGUCUGUAUCAGUGUCCGUAAAUCAAACUUGCCUUUCUUCCUUCCGUGUAGUCGGUGGAGGAGAGUUGCAGAUGUGAAGUGUCUCGCUGUGGUUGGUAUAUUUGUUUAUGCACAACUUGCGAGUCCUUUUAAAUGGACACGACUUUCUCUUUUUUGUAUCUGCGCGGUGCUGUGCGUGAACGCGGUGGUUUUCGGAUCGCUCGCGGCUGUCGGCGACUUCGGUGAAUGCAUUAUGGAGUGGACCUCGAUUCGCGGUAUGUUGGGCUUCGGCUGGACAAUGUUGCUUAUUGGGUGUCUGUUCCGCGUUCGCCUUGAGGUGUACUGGUGGCUGUGGGAUUGAACUGGUUACUGUUGUUAGUAGUGUGUGGCUCGUUGUCGUGGGUGCAUCUGUGUUUUUGUACUUGUGCAAUUGGCAGAAGAGGAGUCUCAAUUUGGGAAAUUAGU
rnacentral:rRNA from 1 species